ensembl:lncRNA
CGGGAACCGUCUGGGGCCGGCCCUAGGCUGCGUGCACUUCCCCGGUCCAAGCCGCUCAGGUUCGGCCCUCAGGCAGCCCUCAGAGGCACAAAUGCGGCUGGGACUGCGCUUUGUGCCCUUCCCAGGUCCGAGUAGCUCAGGAGUUUGGUGAGCGCAACUGCCGUGGCUUGUCACCUUUUCCGCCGCUGCCGCUCAGCUCUCUGGGUGGACCGCUGGCGCACCCCGUGAGGCAGACUGUGACUGUCCAGCACCCCCAGAAGUCUUAGCAAAGGAGCCUGCUUGCAGUUAGGCAGUUACUCUGAGCUGAGCCAGGGUCACAUCUACAUCCCUGCUCCUGAAAUAGCUGAACUCAUCACCUCUUCAGAGGAGAAGCUUUGCAAAUGAGAGUAAAGGCUGCGGAUCUCCACAAAAGGCUUUGAAACUCUCUCCCGUGCCCUCCUGCCAGAUCUUUAAUCCAUCUAGAAUUUAUUUUCGUGGGUGAAAUGAAGAAGACAUCUAAUUAGAGAGUUUUAUCAUCUCUGCUGCUGCUGGAGGCCUGGCGUGAUGCAAUUCAUGGGGUCGCAGAGUCGGACACAACUGAGCGACUGAACUGAACUGAAAUAUAGUUAAGUUCUUCUCAUGAGCUUGAUAUAUGUCUUGCUUCUACAGGUAAGCCAUAGCAUUCUCUGAGGCCAGGGACCGCAUUUUCUAUAGAUGUUAACAGUUCUUUUAUUUCAAAUAAGAUCUAGUGAUAUGAUCUUGUAUUUCUGUAGUUAUUUAAAAUAAUUGUAUACUUUUAAUUAUGAAAUUAAAUGACACAGCUUAAGGUACUUUAUAAUUUAUUGUCUCAUCUUCUCUUGGCAGUAAUCAAGGUUCCAAAUACUUCAUUCAGAACUUACUCUGAGAACUCCCAAGUUCAGAAAGAGGUUUGAAAAUGGCCUUUAGGAUUUCUUUUUGAAUUUCUGUGUGCUCAGCAAUCAUUUCCCUCACUUGAAAGUUAGUCCUGGGUUCAACUCGGUGCCCACUGCUAAGAGCCAGCACCUUACAAAUACUGCUAAUCUUGGCUGGAGUUGUUUACAAGAGAAGAGGC